rnacentral:lncRNA from 1 species
GCCUUCCAACUGAGAAUGGAGAAACAUUCCCGAUUUCACAGGGCACGUGGAAUCAGAGGGUAUGCCUCAUGACUCAUCCCUCCUCUAGAAGGGAGCUAAGAGGCAACUGAACAUCCACCCAGGACUGCAACUCAAGAUUGUGGAAGCAAGAGUUCUAAAUACCUCUUCAGUAGGUUAUGCCUUUCCCAGAAGGACUGAUCUCAAAGCACAAUUUCCAAGAAUGCUAUUACCAGAAAAAUGGGGACUUUUAACCAACUAUAUACUGUAGAAGAGUGGAACAUGAGGGUCUCAAGAAUUCGAGUGUUUAUGAAGUACCACGAAUGGGCUCAGCUACUAACAUACUUGAUGCUGCUCAGAAUGCCAGUCCUUUGAAAAUCUGUGAAGUAGAAAGUUUGCCCUUGGUGCCCCUAAAUCUCUUGACUUCAACCUCCAUUCCUGGAAUGUUACCUUUCCUAUGCCUGAGGAAAGUCAUCCAGUUUUACCGGGCAAGGUCUUGGGUGUACUCUUUGGAGAAGACUCGAGAGCUUUGUAUGAAAGCAGGAAGCCCGUCUCAUCACCAGGGAUGCAGCAGCUCACUGCGGUUUGGAGUCACCAGACUCAGCUUUGCCUCACUCAGAGGAUUCUUUAGGUUUCUUUACUUAAAAAGGAUAAGAGAGCACCUUGGAGAAAUAACUGAUUCUGGGACCGGGGCAGGAAGUUUAUAAGAAGAACCUGGAACAUCUUUUAGUGCCAGAACGUAAGUACUUACUCAAGCAAUGAAAAGUCCUACAAUGGUGGAAGUAUAUCAAAGAGACAAAGGAACCAACUUAAAAGAGCUCCCAAUGGCCAAAGCUGGAAUAAUCUGAACAAAAAAUAAGUAAAAUAGCAUUGUAUUUUAACUCUAAGUAUAAAAUAAAUAUCCAUGAGUUCAUAUUAAUGUAAGUAAA